rnacentral:rRNA from 1 species
GACGAACGCUGGCGGCGUGCCUAAUACAUGCAAGUUGAGCGCUGAAGGUUGGUACUUGUACCGACUGGAUGAGCAGCGAACGGGUGAGUAACGCGUGGGGAAUCUGCCUUUGAGCGGGGGACAACAUUUGGAAACGAAUGCUAAUACCGCAUAAAAACUUUAAACACAAGUUUUAAGUUUGAAAGAUGCAAUUGCAUCACUCAAAGAUGAUCCCGCGUUGUAUUAGCUAGUUGGUGAGGUAAAGGCUCACCAAGGCGAUGAUACAUAGCCGACCAGAGAGGGUGAUCGGCCACAUUGGGACUGAGACACGGCCCAAACUCCUACGGGAGGCAGCAGUAGGGAAUCUUCGGCAAUGGACGAAAGUCUGACCGAGCAACGCCGCGUGAGUGAAGAAGGUUUUCGGAUCGUAAAACUCUGUUGGUAGAGAAGAACGUUGGUGAGAGUGGAAAGCUCAUCAAGUGACGGUAACUACCCAGAAAGGGACGGCUAACUACGUG